rnacentral:tRNA from 1 species
GAAAUAUAAAUAUAAUUAAACUUCUAAUUUAAUUUUUAGUGAUCUAUUUCAUUAAUAUUUCU